GGAGGCCAUAUCGCGUUGAAACACAGGUUCCUGUACGAUGACCGAAGUUAAGCAACAUCGAGCCUGCUCAGUACCUAGAUGGGUGACCGCUUGGGCAUACCAAGUUCCGU